UACCAGCACCCCGAGUGGUCGGGACGAUUAUUGGGCCUAAAGCAUCCGUAGCCGGUUCUGCAAGUCCCCCGUUAAAUCCAGCUGCUCAACAGAUGGGCCGCGGAGGAUACUACAGAGCUAGGAGGCAGGAGAGGCAAGCGGUACUCAGUGGGUAGGGGUACAAUCCGUUGAUCCAUUGAAGACCACCAGUGGCGAAGGCGGCUUGCCAGAAUGCGCUCGACGGUGAGAGAUGAAAGCUAGGGGAGCAAACCGG
rnacentral:rRNA from 1 species